AAAAAGCUUCAAACUGGGAUUAGAUACCCCACUAUUCACGACUUAAACCAAAGUUGAAUAUUACGAACAAUAGUUUAAAAUUCAAAGAUUUUGGCGGUGUCUUAUAAAACCAGGGGAACCUGUCUCAUAACUCGAUAAUCCACGUAUAUGCAACCUUCUCUUGACUCCCAGCAUGUGUACUGCCGUUGUAAGCAUACCUCUAAAAGAACAAGUAUGCCGCUAUGAUUUACCCAACUCAUUUACAUCAGGUCAAAGUGCAGCCUAUAAGAAGGUGAUGAUGGGUUACAACCCCAAAAUAGACUAUCGACUAAGAAAUAAAAAAUCUUACGAAAGUGGACUUGGCCGUAAUCAA
rnacentral:rRNA from 1 species